rnacentral:rRNA from 1 species
UGAGGAAUAUUGGUCAAUGGGCGAGAGCCUGAACCAGCCACGUCGCGUGAAGGAAGACUGACCUUACGGUUUGUAAACUUCUUUUGUAGAGGGGUAAUGGCAGAUACGUGUAUUUGCGUGAAAGUACUCUACGAAUAAGCAUCGGCUAACUCCGUGCCAGCAGCCGCGGUAAUACGGGGGAUGCGAGCGUUAUCCGGAAUUAUUGGGUUUAAAGGGUGCGCAGGUGGCUAAUCAGGUCAGUGGUGAAAAGCUAUAGCUCAACUAUGGUCUUGCCUUUGAAACUCUCUAGCUAGAGUGUACUGGAGGUACGUGGAACGUGUGGUGUAGCGGUGAAAUGCAUAGAUAUCACACAGAACUCCGAUUGCGCAGGCAGCGUACUACAUUACAACUGACACUGAAGCACGAAAGCGUGGGUAUCAAACAGG